rnacentral:lncRNA from 1 species
UAGGGUUUGAUUUAGGAUUUGGAUUAGGGUUUGGAUUAGGAUUUGGUUAGGGUUUGAUUUAAGGUUUGAUUUAGGAUUUAGGAUUUGGAUUAGAGUUUAGGAUUGGAUUAGGAUUUAGAUUAGGGUUUAGGAUUUGGUUAGGGUUUGAUUUAGGAUUUGGAUUAGAGCUUGAUUUAAGGUUUGGUUUAGGAUUUAGGAUUUGGAUUAGAGUUUAGGGUUGAAUUAGGAUUUGGAUUAGGGUUUGGAUUAGGGUUUAGGGUUUGGUUAGGGUUUGAUUUAGGGUUUGGUUAGGAUUUGAUUUAAGAUUUGGUUUAGGAUUUAGGGUUGGAUUAGGGUUUGGUUUAGGGUUUGAUUUAAGGUUUGGUUUAGGGUUUGAUUUAAGGUUUGGUUUAGGGUUUGAUUUAAGGUUUGGUUUUAGGGUUUAGGAUUUGGAAUAGGGUUUAAUUUAAGAUUUAUUUAGGAUUUGACUUAGGAUUUAGGAAUUAUUAGGGUUUAAGAUUUAAUUAGGUUUGGUCUAAAGUUGAGUGAAAUUCAAUAGGGUUUUAACUAGAAUUAAAUUAAGGUUGAAUUGACAUAUAUUUGAGUAAAAUUUGUAAUCAUUCUAAUAUUUCUUUAAGAAUUUUAUUGUUUGUUUGAAAUUUCUUUGAGUUGUUUUGAAUUUGAUUACGUUUGUUUACUAUUAUUAUAGUCUAAUUAGAGCAUUGUUAGUAUUCUAUUUAGGAUUUUGUUAUCGCAAUUUCUAUUCUUCCUUCUACAGCCAGGUGUCCUAAGCAUUCUCAAGCAAGACUUCACACAUUACGACAAUGUGAUCUAAUAUUGGAUAAUUUCGAAGCAUUCU